rfam:Candidate division CPR2 bacterium GW2011_GWC2_39_10 TT18_C0004, whole genome shotgun sequence.
GCCGGGGUGGUGAAAUGGUAUACACGAAAGACUUAAAAUCUUUUGAUCGCAAGAUCGUGCGGGUUCGACUCCCGCUCCCGGCA